AGAGAAGAGAAGAGAAAAGAAAGAAAAGAAAAGAAAACCCAGUUAAAGAGAUUCUUCAAAGCAAGACUUUCAGUCUGUAAAUGUGCUAAUUAAUGUGCAUCCCGAACCUCCAAGGUGGAGUAUCAGAUGCAGAUAGAAUCUACUACAUUCCAAGUAUAUUUGACUAUAGAGCUCUUUUUCACCCAGAAUGACUUUACUCCAUGGAGCCACGGCCUGGGGAAUAUUCCAUGGGAGUCUUUGCUUUUGGAUGAAAUCAAGUUAGGCUGAAAAUUGGUAGGUUUCUUCAUCAGUUCAGAAGUUCUGGUGGGCAGUUCUAGAAGCCACUGGUUAAGGAACAAUGGAGAAACAAUGUACAGUAAAUACAGUGUAGUGGACAAAUGCCAAUGUGGGACUCAUCAAGAAAAAGAUAAUAAAAGAUCUUCAGUGGAGAGGGCCGGGUCUAUGUCCUAUUUGGCCAGCAAGGGUCCCUGGAAAGCCCUUCUCUCCUUGUGGCCCUUUCUGUAUCUCAUGCAGGAUCAGUUCUGCCACAGGCCAGAGAGGGAGCUCUCCAAGUGAUCCCCACAGGCUGUGCGAAGGAUGAGCUGCCCUGGAUCAGGUGACCUGGCCCCUCCCUAGUGAUCUUCCUUCCCCUCUUGUGUACUCAUUUCCUAACCUAUAAAGUGAGGAUCAGAGCCUCCACCUUGCUGAUCUGUCUUACUGACCUGAGAAUCUAACAAAGUGGCAAAUGUGUUCAGGCUUGGGAAAAAGUAAAGUGCUCUGUGGCACUGGAAGACCAGUGGCGCUGAGGGAGUGUUGUCUUAAGAGCUGUCCCCUGUAGGUCAACAAGGGACUGUCCUCUAAUCUUGCUGUUCAGUAUGUGGUGUGUGAUCCAGCAGCAUUGGCAUCAUAUUACCACAGAGCCCACCGGAAAUGCAGAAUCAUGGUCUCACCUAAGUUCUCUCCUACUAAAUCAGAAUCUCCUUUGAACAAGGUCCCUUUGAACAGUGAUUCGUAGGCACAGAAAAGUCUGAGAAGCACUGGUCUAGACUCUUCUCCUCUUCAGAACCGCCCUGUGUGCUAUUUCCUCAAGGGUGACAAGCACUGAACCCCCUAUGGUAAUAUUGCCCAGCAUUUAUGCCCCUGUCAUCCCCAUUCUUCUGUUUGAAACCUCCUAUGGAUGUUCACUGCUUUCAGAAUCAAGUCCCAGCUUUAAGACCAGGCCCAACAGGCAUUUGGCAACUAGCCCUGAGCCGACCUCCUGUCCUCGGUGUUCAGCCAUCCCCACGGCCCCAUGGCCCACUCAUGGAAGCUGCCCUUGCUUUCUUCUCACCCUCAGCACCAAGCUCGUCCCUUCUUACACUGUAGAGUCCAACUGAAGGUCCUGCCUCUGAAGCCUGCCCCAGCUCUCUCAGCAGAUGGUGGCUCCCAGGGCUCAGUGUGUCCUUCCACACAGCCUUUAGGACAACACUCUCCUGACCAUGAACAACUUGUAGAGAUAGGCCUUGUCUUAUUCCUGUUCCAACAGACUGGCAUUGGGCAAGUGCCAGUAAGUACUGAACAGAUGGGAGAGUGGACAGAAGGAAGGACCACAAGGCUGUUUCUCUGGUGGGUCCAGUGCUCUGUGAGAGAAAUGUUAGCCCAGACAGCACCAGAGGCCCGCUGAGGGUGAAUUCAGAGGGAGGAACAGCAAAUACUUGGCACACACGCACGUGUCAGACAUCACACUUUUGUCACUGCUUUUCCUUCCUCUUCACCCUCCCAACCCUGUCAACUACUAACCAACUGGGGCACCAUCUGCCAUCUCAGGUCUAGAUUAGUCACAGUCCUGACGAGCCCCCAAACAGGAACACAUGAGAGGGGCCCACGGUGGUCUAGGCAGGGUCUGGUUGCCAAACUCUGGCCGAAGCUUUGAGGAGGAGCAGUGCAGGAGAGAGGCUGGGGUAUUAGUGGGAGCAUCUUUUUUAUGGCUCUGGCACUCAAAGUUUUGUUCAACAGAAGACUCCUUCACCCCACCUCCCAGCCCUAAGAGGCAUCUCGAAAGGACAGAGUCAGGCUAUUUGCCAUUUGCCCCUCCCACCUGGGAUGGCCAGUGCAUUCUUUUUCUUUGCUCUGAUUUAGCAAAGCUGUCUUCAGGCAGAAUAGAUGCUCAAUGAACAUUUGCUGCAGGGAUAGAAGUGAAAGUGGGUGCCUGCACCACCUCCUGCUCUGGUCAUUGCUCUGCCACCCCCUGGGCCCCUGCCUGGCCAUACUCAUUUAUACCCGACAAGCAGGACACUCAAGCCAUACACAUGGGCCCUUGUCCUCUCCCACUCCCCCUGACAGGAGCAAAGGAGACACGUACACAUAGCCGAUGAUAUCAGCAUCUGGCUGCUGGUAGAAUGCUUUGUCAGCGAUCCUUGAGAGGAAAGGGUUAGGUGGGGGAAGACAGAUGGCAAGACAGACAGGCGGAGGGUUAAAGAGAAAGGGAGACAGCAUUAGUACCUCUAGUUGGAGAGCAUUAGGAAGCACAGUCCUGUAAGUCUCAGCAACUAACCACAACCCAGAGAGGAGAGCAGGGAUCCUCCACGGCUUGUGUGCCUUUUCUAAAACUGCCCUGACCAUACUACUUCUGUUCACAAACCUUCUGUGGCUCCUCACCACCCCUGUCUGUCCAACCCGGUUACUAGAGGUCCUCCACACAUGACCCCUCAUUCUUGCCUUCUCUCCUGCCACUCCCUGACUUCCUGGGGCCCAAAACACAACAGCCUUUUAUAUUAUGCUGUUCCCUGGUCUCCCCAACCCUGCCCUAAUGAAUUUCCAGUCACCUUUCAAAGCCCAGGUCCUAGACACGGAGGUCCUUCUCCUACCACAACCCUUGCUUCCACAGCCUUCCUGUAGAGAGGCCUAGUGUGAGUUCACCAGCACAUGUGUGCUUCUCUUUUCCAAGCUCUUCAAGGAUACAGAGUGCGUCCCUCUCUGCUCUGUCUCCGCAGUGCCCAACCAAGAGCCUGGCAUGCCCUUCCGUGCAAGCCAGGUACCCUGAAGGACACAGCCUCAAGGGCAGAGAUGGUGGCCAGACUCUCAGAAGUGGUCUGAGACCAUUUCUAUGGAAGUGCCCUUUGGUGGGCAUCGCUAUCUUUGCCUGCCAUAUCCAUCCCCCUUCUUCCCAGGAAGAGCACCCUGAUCGUCUUUGGCAGGAUCAGGCUGGCUCCACUUUAGUCCCUGUGGUUUGGGUGAGAAUGACUCCGUGCACAACCUAAGGAAUGGGACUAUGGCCAAGGCUGGGUCCAUCACAGAGUCCCUCCCCUGGUACAAUCUCUGGACCCGGGAUGGGCACAGGACCCACACCAAACCAAUAAGGGUCAGAUCAAGGAUUUCAGCUAGAGCUGUGGGAGCAAGAUGUUAUGUUCAUAGAGGUUGCCAAAAGAGUACAGCAGAAGGCUGGAGCUGAUGGUGGCCAUCUCUCCCCCCACCCUGCCCCAUUCCAGGGCAAGAGAGAAAAGUGGCAUGGAGAGACAGUAAAAGUGAGUGCCAGGUGACUUUGUCUGAGCCCCUGAGCCUAGUACUGCAGUCCCACCCCUGGCCUUUUCUGUUUUACAGGCCACUAAUUUCCUUUUACUCUUUAGCCUCUCUGGGGUGAAGCAUUGUCAUUUCUACAAGCAGUACAAUCCUGUACCCAGGUUGGUUCUUCACUCCCCACCAGGCCUGUGCUUUCUGUGACACUAACUGCUGGGCCCUGGGCAGUCUGGCUCCCGUGCCACGGUCCUGAGACCUCUUCUGCUGACUGCAGAACUUGCUUCCCUGUCAUGGUGAUAUGACAGCUCAACAGUGAACCACCUCUGAAGGGCUCUGAACUCCACAGCAACUGAGGAAGCAGUCCCAAGGGCUUCAGCUUCUCCUUUAUGUUCUUUUUUUUUUUUUUUCUCCUUUAUGUUCUUGCCACCAAAUCAUCUAGCCUCAAGACGGUCAUCUCAUAACUUCUCUCACUGUCCACAUGGCUGGCUUCUUGUCCUCAAGUCCCCUCAUAUUCCCAUAGCCCCCUCAUGUCCCUGUACCUCCUCUCAUGUCCCCACAGCCCCCUCAUGUCCCUAUAGCUCCCCUCAUGUCCCCACACUCCUCUCCUGUCCCCAUAGCUCCUCUCACCGGUUAUUGAUCUUGUUCUUCUCAACUUGUUCACUCUGACGCUGGUUCCACUCCUCCAGGUCCUUCUUGGCUUUUUCCCGCCACUCCUGUUCUGUCACCUUGGAGGCAGCAUCUGUGACCCCCACAGCAGAGUAGAGAAACUCUAGCUCCAGAGUCCCAAGGUCACCCAGCCGGGAACUGGCAGAGCCGAGAUUCCAACUGAAUUCCUGGGUGUGAACCUACCAGCCACGCAGCAGGGACCUAAGUCACUUGUGCAUCACGUGGUUUGUGAAGCACUCUGUCUUCCCCGUGAGUCUACUUCCCCAAGAUUAGAGCCGGUGCCUACUCCUCUAGGUGCCCCCUGCCCCAUCCCCCAUCUCUCUCUUGCACCCACACACUACCACCCCUCAGCUCACUCCUCAGCAUGACCAGGAACUUAGAAGAAGCUUCCUUGGGCUGCAGAGCACUUUUCCCAACAGCCCUGCGGGGAUAGCAGGGCAGGGCCUCGAAUCCCCUUUUGACAAGUGAGAAAUCAGCUCAGAGCAGCCAAGAGAGUAGUCCAAGCUCUUGGGUUGGGGAUAGCCAGCAACGAAGCCCAGGCCUUCUGAUCCCAUCCAAACUCUACUGCCACAGCCCACCACAGCACCCCAGCCUGGGUGCGGGAGCAGCCUUGAGGGCCACUUAAACCCCCGUGGGUGCUUCUCAAGGCCCCUAGAGCAGCCGCACUGCAAAUCCACGGGCACCACAUAUCCAGGUGUACAGCUCAGUGUUAUUCCAAGCACAUUGUGCUCAGAGGUAGCUAUGCCUGAGGCUCAGGGUGUGAAGCUUGGCUAAGCUAGACUUGCCUCCUCCACUUGUAUACCAGCAGCACCACCCACUAACAGGCUCUAGCUGGGAGCUGCUCCAGGGUGGGGGUGGGGGCACUCCCCUCCCAUCACACCAUCCCUGUAGCUUUGGCCUCUCUGGGCUCCCUCAGCACACCAUCGUCUGUGGCAGGCCCCAGGCUCCAGGCAAGGCCCACAGAGACUGCCUUACCCUCUGUACCUUUGCACAUGCUUCUUUAUCAGCCAAGACCAUGUACAUGCCCACUUCGAGCAUCCCUUCCCUGUUGCGCUCUGAGUGCAGCACCUGGAGCCAGAACCAGGUUCAAGUCCCAGCUCUUCCCAGCUAUGUAAUGAGAGUGAGCUAUUAAACCUCCCUGUGCAUCCUCCUCUUGAUCUGUAAAAUGGGGACAAUGACAGAACCUGCGUCAUAGGGUUGUUGGGAGGAUGAAAUGAACUAAUUAAUACAUGUAGAGCUCUUGGAUGAUGCCUGACACAUUAA